GGUCAUGUGGCCGAGUGGUGAGGCAUAGGUCUGCAAAACCUUAUACGGCGGUUCAAUUCCGUCCAUGACCU
rnacentral:tRNA from 1 species